GUAAAGUCGUAACAAGGUUUCCGUAGGUGAACUGCGGAAGGAUCAUUAUCGAGCCCAACGACGGAGGCUUGGGGGGGGUGGACCCUUCCUUUUGUUUUCAGGUGGUUGAGCUGGCUCUUUUGGAGCAUGUGCCCUGCUUGUUGAAGGGAGGGGAAGCUUCU
rnacentral:rRNA from 1 species